rfam:Marchantia polymorpha subsp. polymorpha scaffold2015, whole genome shotgun sequence.
GACAAGCGAUGAGGAGAUAUACACCAGUUUAAUAGCCAGUUCUGCUUCUGAAAAAUCCGUGAAUGAUAACUGGUAAUAAGCUGAGCUUGUC